CAAUAGCGUAUAUUAAAGUUGUUGCAGUUAAAAAGCUCGUAGUUGAAUUUUUGCUUGCCCCCGAUGUCGGAACUUCCGUACGUUCGGGGGCGCGCAUCCUUGGGUGGAACCUGUGUGGCAUUAGGUUGUCGUGCAGGGGAUGCUCAUCGUUUACUGUGAAAAAAUUAGAGUGUUCAAAGCAGGCUUACGCCGUUGAAUAUAUUAGCAUGGAAUAAUAAGAUAGGACUUUGGUACUAUUUUGUUGGUUUGCAUACCAAAUUAAUGAUCAACAGGAACAGUUUGAGGAUAUUCGUAUGAACAUGUCAGAGGUGAAAUUCUUGGAUUUUGAUCAGACGAACUACUGCGAAAGCAUUUAUCAAGGAUGGUUUCAUUAA
rnacentral:rRNA from 1 species